UACGAAGGGGGCUAGCGUUGUUCGGAAUCACUGGGCGUAAAGGGCGCGUAGGCGGCUUGAUAAGUCGGGGGUGAAAGCCUGUGGCUCAACCACAGAAUUGCCUUCGAUACUGUCUGGCUUGAGACCGGAAGAGGUAAGUGGAACUGCGAGUGUAGAGGUGAAAUUCGUAGAUAUUCGCAAGAACACCAGUGGCGAAGGCGGCUUACUGGUCCGGCACUGACGCUGAGG
rnacentral:rRNA from 1 species